rnacentral:lncRNA from 1 species
GAAAAAGCAGAGCCAAUAGAUCCAGUUCAUUAAUUGACGUGGCAGUGAUGCAUGGCCUGGAUCUGAGGAUACACUGUACACUUAAGUCAACAGCGCCAAAUGAUGCAUUAAAACAAGUAAUUAAAACAGACGCGUGAGAUUAGAUCGUGAGAGAGAGAUCCAAAGGCCAUGAGCAACACACGUGGUGGUGGUGGUGGAAACCACCGUCUUCUCCGGCCAACCACACAAACUCCGACCAAAUUUGCAGAGAAAUGAAUCUUAUCAAAAACGAAAAAC